rnacentral:rRNA from 1 species
CGGGACGGGUGAAGUAACGCGGUGGAACUAACCUCGCCGUAUACGGUGGGGGAAUAAACUACUUAAGUAAAAGUUAGGUGACUUAACUACCGCAUAACGCACAGUCUCGCAUGAGACGGUGUGAAAAACUCCGGUGGUAUACGAUGGAUCCGCGUCUGAUUAGCUUGUUGGCGGGGUAACAGCCCACCAAGGCGACGAUCAGUAGCCGGCCUGAGAGGGUGAACGGCCACAUUGGGACUGAGACACGGCCCAAACUCCUACGGGAGGCAGCAG